rnacentral:lncRNA from 1 species
UUUUUUUUAUUUUGUGCGAAGGAGAUUCAAAUCUAUUGAAAAAGUUCAUCAGAAGUACAAAACACCUCAAAUACAAUAAAAAUUGCAUCAAGAUCUGUGAACCAUCAACAGACCAAUAAUCCACAUGCUGCUCUCCCCGCUCCCCUUCAUAAAUCAGAAUCUUAACUAUGAAAGUCAACUCUCUUGUAUCACAAACCGGGAAGAAGAAAAGUAUCGACUUGACUAAGUUAAAACUUCUCUCAUGUCUUUGUAUAAUAUUUAUUAAGAAAACAUAAUCUCUAACUAGAUUUGGAAUUGCUUGCCGCAUCUUCACUCAGCAUAUAAAAUAUCCCUUUAUAAAUCAGAAUCUUAACUAUGGAAGUCAGCUCUCUCGAUCACAAAUCAGGAUCAAGAAAAGUAGGUAUCAACUUGACUAAAUUAAAACUUCUCUCAAGUCUUUGUAUAAUACUCCCUCCGUUCCUUUAUAUAACGUAUAUUUGUUUUUCGAUAAAAAUUCAUAAUGUAAGGUGCAUUUCUUCUAUUUUUUCUUAAUUCUAUUUUUAGCCCUCCGAGUAAAAAGAAAGAGUCAAUUACACCGGUGGUGCUAGAACUUGGUGCAAACGAUCACUUUGGUGCUAGAAGUUGUGGCAUACAUCGAAGUGGUGCAAAAACUUGGCUUUGACGUGCAAAUACAAUGCUUAUCUCAUUUCUGCAUACGGAACCCGCGCUGACUAGGCGCAUGGGGCCCGCUGUCAGCCAUUGGACCAGGAGAAGGGGGUGUGUGACUUGUUUUCUAUAGAAACACCCUCGAAAUAUAAAAAAAAUUCACAAAAAACCGUCUUGGCGUGUGAGAGGUGCCAUUUGCUUCACCUCCAUGAACAGUGGGUUCCACCUAUCAGGUGAGAGUGAAAAUUAAACAAAACAUGCGGAUUCUAGUCUAGGUCUCGAAAGCACAACAGAGACGUUAGUAGCAAGCCUGCUAAACCACUCCACCAUUCACGUUCCUGUUUAUGCAAUGGAUAACAAAUUUACAUGUAUUUAAACACAAAGCUUGUGGAAUUGGGGCUGCAGAUACUGCGAGCCAUUUUACACCAGUCCAUUUUUUUCUAUUAUAUUUGUAGAAAGUACGCAAAUUAUAAUCUCUUCCCUCAAAACAAAAUGUAAAUUAUAAUCUCAGUACAAAAAUAAAGUGUGAAUAUUUGUGCACAUAAAAUAUAGACGAAUGAAGUAACUAAUUUUUACUAAUUUUUCACAUAUUAUUUAGAAAAUAAUCAUAUAUUUAAUAUAAUAUCAAAUAUUGUAUUUUUAACAUAAUAAGAAAUAUUAGUAAAAUUACAAUUCAGAAAUUAUUUUAGUUAUACAAACAUUUCAAUCAUUCGCAUGUUUGUAUAGUUCAAUGUUUGUAUAAUUAAAGUUAUUCAUAAUUUAAACUGUUGAUACUAAUAUUAACUUUUUAUAAUUUAAAUAUAAGCCGCGGGUGUGUGAUAUUUUUUAUUGAUUAAUUGUUUUACAUAUUAAAUACAUAUUUUUUGUAUAAUGCACGUAUGUAUAUUUAUUUAUUAAAUAAUCAUUGUUUGUACGUCUAAUAUUUAUAACAAACAAUUAUUGAAAGUAAUUUUUAUAACUUACGUUUUAGAAAAAUAAAUGAAAAACAAACCGGUGAAAAUUAGGCCGCAGUAUCGAGAACCCAUUUAAGUUCCACAUGCAUACAACUUGUAGCACUAAAGUGACCGUUUGCAUCAAGUUCUAGCACCACCACUGUAAUUGACUCAAAAAGAAAGUAUCACUCUCCUAAUUGCAUGUAUUUCUCCUUGUGAAAAAGAAGAAAGGUAUCUCUCUCUCUCUCGAUUGCGUGUAUCCUUUUUUUUCUGGACUAAUCGAAUUACUUGCCACUAAGCAAUGAAUUUGCCAAUAGCAAUUUUGUUCUAAAUUGUCUAUAAUUCCGUCUCUAGGUCACCAUGCCAAAAAUUAUAUACCUUACAUAAAGGAACAUAGGGAGUAUUUAUUAAGAAAAAACAAUCUCUAACUAGAUCUAGGAUUGCUCAUCGCAGGCAUAUAAAAUAUUCCCUUCAUAAAUCGCAAUCUUAACUAUGAAAGUCAACUCUCUCGGAUCACAAAUCGGGAUUGAGAAAAGUACCGACUUGACUAAAUUAAAUCUUCUCUCAAGUCUUUGUACAAUAUUUAUGAAGACAAAACAAUCUCUAACUAGAUCUGGGAUUGCUCACUGCAUCUCCACCGGGCAUAUAAAAUAUCCCCUCCAUUUUCAUUUACAUCACAUGGUAGAUUUUCUUGAAAAAAAGCCUAAGGCCAUAUAUUAAGUAUCAUAGGUCCUUACAAACAUACCUAUAUAACUGUUUGAAUUACUGAGCUUUAGCCCAUUAUUAUAUUUAAUAAUUCCUAGGGAAAAUUCCUAGAGGCCCGUAUGACACAUUCAUGCAUGGCAAAGGGUGUGGAAAGUUUAGUCCCAUCUUGCUAAUGGAUGGUGUGGGAGACCAGCAUAUAAUGUUGUUCCAUACACCACAUGCAGGAACAGAGGGAGUAUUUAUUAAGACAAAACAAUCUAUAACUAGAUCUGGGAUUGCUCACCUCAGGCAUAUAAAAUAUUCCCUUCAUAAAAUGCAAUCUUAACUAUGAAAGUCUGCUCUUUCGGAUCACAAAUCGGGAUCGAGAAAAGUAUCGACUUGACUAAAUUAUGCCAAAAAUUAUACACCUUACAUAAAGGAACAGAGGCAGUAUUUAUUAAGACAAAACAAUCUCUAACUAGAUCUAGGAUUGCUCACCGCAGGCAUAUGAAAUAUUCCCUUCAUAAAUCGUAAUCUUAACUAUGAAAGUCAGCUCUCUCGGAUCACAAAUCGGGAUCGAGAAAAUAUCGACUUGACUAAAUUAAAUCUUCUCUCAAGUCUUUGUAUAAUAUUUAUGAAGACAAAAACAAUCUCUAACUAGAUCUGGUAUUGCUCACUGCAUCUCCACUGGGCAUAUAAAAUAUUCCUUCCAUUUCAUUUAUUUCACAUAUUAGAUUUUCUUGACGAAAAGCCUAAGGCUAUAUAUUAAGUAUCAUAGGUCCUUACAAAUAUACCUAUAUAAUUGUUGGAAUUACUGAGCUUUAGCCCAUUAUUAUACUUAAUUAUUCCUACGGAAAAUUCCUAGAGGCCCAUAUGACACAUUCAUGCAUGACAAAGGGUGUGGAAAGUUUAAUCCCUCCUUGCUAGUGGCUGCUGUGGGAGACCAAGAUAUAAGGUUGUUCCAUACAUCAUUAAGAGCUUGAAAAGAAGACAUAUACAUGUAUGUGUGUGUGUUGUCCUCCUCAGCCGUCUGCCUUGCGAUGCAUGUGUGUCGUGUUUCGUGAUUAGGCUGAGUCUGGCUAGAACCGAUGCGUAACAUGUACAACCUUAACUUUAUCGCAAAAGAAAAAGAAAUUGCAACGCUUUUGGCUCUAGUGAGAGGCGAAUCUGAACAAUCAUCCAAUUUCUGUGAGCAAUCAAUUUCUAUAGAACCAAUCAUCCAAAUGUAUUGCAACCAAUUUGUGUCGUAAAGCACGACGUAUUAGCUAGUCAAUGAAAUCCAACGGUCAUGAUUUGAUGAGAAUACAUAUUGAUGGUCCGGUUUUUCUGAUUAAUGUGGAACUUUCUAUCGAAUUUAUACUUUCAUCCGCAUUACGCCUUUAUUGUUGACUUAUAUGAAUUUAAAGAGGGACAAUGUUGUCCACCCGGGUGAUCUUUAUUUAGCAAAUAAGUGAAGAAGGGUGUUCUGCUCAUUUUCCUGCUUUGUACAGACAAUUGAAACAAUAAAUUGCUUCAUACAGAAACAAGAGCAAUUUGUUUCAGUUUUUGUAAAUAAAGUGAGAUGUGCUGGCAUCUACGAAAUAGUAGCACAAAACGGCCGGCACUUAAUAUUUCCAUCUUAUCUCAGUUCCACUUUUUAAUAAGAUGUUAUGUUAGACUUUGAUCCGUCUCGACCAAUGGAGGAAAGAGCAAGACUCCACAGGGUCGUCAAAUAUUCAAAUUGUUUAAUUAUCUAUGAAAUAAGGGUGCCAACCUGCUUUUCUAAAAAGAAGGAUAACCCUGGCCUCUGCAUGAUGUGAUGCACACAUUCAUCUUUAUUGUACGAAAAUAUCAAACAUCCGGCACAAAGAAGAAAACAUAAUAAAUAAUAAGUACGGCAAAGCACAACAGGCCAAAAACAGGAUUACAUUACUCUUACACAUAAAAUGUUACUUUUUUAUGGAGAAUAAACUAUUAAUGGCUCGCUACAUAAACCAGUUGAUUUUGUCCCGUUCUAUCAUCUCUCAUAGGCUUCACCCAAAGCUAAUGGCAGCUUCUCCUCCGGACGCUGCAGGGAGGCAAUCUGUAACAUCUUGAGUUUUACGUGUUGAAUUGUUUUGAGGAAAACGGAUAUCGCAAACGAUGCAAGGUAAAUAAAUUGGGACUGUCGAACAAUCAGUCGGCUGAUUUUCAAACGAAGGGCCACUGGCCGAACUUUAUUAGAUAGAAAGAAAGAAGAGAGAUACAGUCUGGUUAGCAGUCUAGGCGCACUAGAGCUGAAAACCGUCAGAAGCCGCCAAUUACAGCUUUACAAAAGAGAACACAGAGGUACAUCUAAGGCGCUCAGAUUAGGCUCCGAGCUCAACAAUACAACCGGCCGCACACCAAAUAGCAAUAUCUUCGCAGACCAAAUCCAGCACCCUAUCGGCGCUGCUUGCCACCUGGUCAAAAAUCCUGGAGUUUCUCUCCUUCCAUAGCCUCCAGUGCACGAGGAUAGUAAUAGUGUCGAAGUUGCGACGCAUCGACUUAGGCACGCCGGCUCUGGCCAGGAGCCACCACUCCUCUAUGUCGCUAAAACUGUCCUCUGGCGUGGUGAAGCGAGCCCCAAACCUGCGCUUGAGCAAUCCCCAAAGUUGCUGCGUGUAUCGGCAGUGCACAACCAAAUGCGUACAGGUCUCGGGUGCCAACAGACAGAGGGGGCAGGAUGCAUUAGCCGGCCACCUGCGGCAAAGAAGGUUGUCUGCAGUCAGGCAUUUGCCAUGAACGGCCAGCCACAUGAAGAACUUGCACCUUGGGGGAGCCUUUGACCUCCAGAUUGGUUUGUUGCAUGCAAAACGCACAUUAGCCAUGAAGAGCAAUCUCUACGCGCUGCUGACCGUAAAAACUUGUUCCUUAGUAAGCUUCCAGAUUGCCCGAUCCCGCGCACCUGGCGUAAGAUUGGUGGCCUGCACCGUAUCCCAGACGGACAGGUACUGAGCGAGCGCCUGCACCGAUAUGCCGCCUUUGAUUUCUCUUAUCCAAGAUUGACUAUGCAAGGCCUCACAGACAGAGCGGCCAGAGUCCUUGACGAAGGAGAACAACUCUGGCGCCGAGGUAGCAAUCGAACAACCAUUCGGCAGCCAAUUGUCCGUCCAGAACCUCGCAGAUUCCCCGUCGCCGAGAGAAAUUGCAGUGGCAGCGCUGAACAUCGCCAUGACCUCCUUUUCUAUAUUGUCAGGCAGCAGAUGCCACGGCCUGAGGUUCUCAUCCCACUUCAACCAAGGCCAUCUACAUCGCAUUGCCCAACCGAACCAUCGCAAAUUGAGCACACCAAGCCCACCACAUUUCUUGGGAGUGCAGACUUGCGCCCAUGGCACUAGACAGUGCCCACCACUGAUGGCCUCCUCCGCUUUCCAUAUGAAACCCCGACACCUUCUGUUUAUGAGCUUGAUCGCCCAGACCGGCAGAGGAAGCACUGCCAUUAAGUGAAGCGGCAGCGCCAUGAGCACCGAGUUUACUAGAGUUAGCCGCCCCGCUGCCGGCAGAAGCUUUGGUUUUCAGCCCUUCAUUUUAUUAGAAAGUUUAUCCACCAGGGGCAUAACCUCCUGACGCCUCAAUCUGAAAACUGACAAAGGCAAGCCCAAAUAUUUGAUGGGAAAACCCUGCUUCUGACAUUGGAAGUGCUCUGCCACCAAAGAUGCAAGGUCCUCCUCGCAGCGAAUACAGGUCACCGAACUCUUCUGUAGGUUGAUGCGAAGGACAGAGACUUGGCCGAACAACUGCAGCACCGUGGAGAUCACCUGAAGGUCAUUUGAGUGCGGCUUAAAGAAGAGAACCGCAUCGUCUGCAAAGAUGGAUGCCCUCGGGAUCUCCCUGCCCAGACCCAUAUAUGAUAACACCUGCUUUUGCGCCGCCCACAGCAGCAUUCCUUGGAGAGUGUCCAUGGCAAUGAUGAACAACGCCGGGGACAACGGAUCACCUUGCCUGACGCCCUGAGCAAGAGCAAAAGGUGCCGACAACUCAUCGUUGAUGAGCACCGAGGUGGUAGCCGUACUCAGCAAGCCGCAGACCCAGGAGCACCAGCGAGCACCAACUGCGUUUUGAUUUUCGGUUUAUGUUUUUUUUCGUCCUUGGGCGAAAUGGCCGAAUUUCGGGAAUUUCAAUUUUUUCGGCAAAAUCUCGGACGAAAUUGCAAAAUCAAAAUUUGAAAAUUUGCCCAAAAUUCGACCGAAAUUUGGCCGAAAUUCGGCCAAAAUUCAAACAAAAUUUGAAAUAAAACAAAGCAUAAACAUAUCAGUGCAACAACCAUCAGGAUGGAUCGAAUAAACUUCAGCAAAUAAGCUCUAGGGAUUAAUAAAACUGCAUCUGUCCAACAUAACAGGCACACAUUAGUUAUAAAGUUGCCUCCAACAUAACCCUUAACAGUCCAACUUCAACCAUCACAGCGUAGUUCAGAGUUUAAAUAGUCCGUUACAGCCAACAAACUUAAAUGAUUACACAGAAACAACAGCCCCAAAAGACAACCAUCAAAGCAUGACACUAAAACAGCAGCUCCAAGCUUGCCUACAUCCAAAAGCUUCUUGAUAUCCCUGGAUAUUCUUCACAUGCCAUUACUGGUUUAGAGAAAAUAGAGGAAGGGUUAGGAUGGAGGUAGUCUGCAUGGGAAUUAUCUUCUGCCACUUUGUGCAACAAAAAAUAAAAUGGAUUAUCAGGAGAAGU